ACCGGAAACAUUUAGAGAAGCUCUAUGAUUUGUUUUCUGUCUCUAGUACAUGACUAUACAACAGUUUGAGAUCUUGUCUUCGUGACAGAGUAGAAGAGACCAUACAUUCUGAUUGAGAGGCAACAAAUUCCAGUGUGGGUGAGGGGAUGUUAGGGCAGGGGUCUGGCAAUCGGUGGCUAUAGAGUCUGACCCGGGUUGGAGGUGUGCGUGGGUGAGGGGAUGUUAGGGCAGGGGUCUGGCAAUCGGUGGCUAUAGAGUCUGACCCGGGUUGGAGGUGUGCGUGGGUGAGGGGAUGUUAGGGCAGGGGUCUGGCAAUCGGUGGCUAUAGAGUCUGACCCGGGUUGGAGGUGUGUGUGUGUGUGAGGGGAUGUUAGGGCAGGGGUCUGGCAAUCGGUGGCUAUAGAGUCUGACCCGGGUUGGAGGUGUGUGUGUGUGAGGGGAUGUUAGGGCAGGGGUCUGGCAAUCGGUGGCUAUAGAGUCUGACCCGGGUUGGAGGUGUGAGUGGGUGAGGGGAUGUUAGGGCAGGGGUCUGGCAAUCGGUGGCUAUAGAGUCUGACCUGGGUUGGAGGUGUGUGGGUGAGGGGAUGUUAGGGCAGGGGUCUGGCAAUCGGUGGCUAUAGAGUCUGACCCGGGUUGGAGGUGUGUGUGGGUGAGGGGAUGUUAGGGCAGGGGUCUGGCAAUCGGUGGCUAUAGAGUCUGACCCGGGUUGGAGGUGUGUGUGGGUGAGGGGAUGUUAGGGCAGGGGUCUGGCAAUCGGUGGCUAUAGAGUCUGACCCGGGUUGGAGGUGUGUGUGGGUGAGGGGAUGUUAGGGCAGGGGUCUGGCAAUCGGUGGCUAUAGAGUCUGACCCGGGUUGGAGGUGUGUGUGGGUGAGGGGAUGUUAGGGCAGGGGUCUGGCAAUCGGUGGCUAUAGAGUCUGACCCGGGUUGGAGGUGUGUGUGGGUGAGGGGAUGUUAGGGCAGGGGUCUGGCAAUCGGUGGCUAUAGAGUCUGACCCGGGUUGGAGGUGUGUGUGGGUGAGGGGAUGUUAGGGCAGGGGUCUGGCAAUCGGUGGCUAUAGAGUCUGACCCGGGUUGGAGGUGUGUGUGGGUGAGGGGAUGUUAGGGCAGGGGUCUGGCAAUCGGUGGCUAUAGAGUCUGACCCGGGUUGGAGGUGUGUG